CUGUAUUUCGCUAUUAUGAGGGAACUGAAAACAACAAUGAGAAUUGAUAUGUUUGUAUGAUCUUUUUCGCUAUUAUGAGGGAACUGAAAACAACAAUGAGAAUUGAUAUGUUUGUAUGAUCUUUUGGAACUAUUAUGAGGGAACUGAAAACAACAAUGAGAAUUGAUAUGUUUGUAUGAUCUUUUGGAAUAAUUAUGAGGGAACUGAAAACAACAAUGAGAAUUAUGAGGGAACUGAAAACAACAAUGAGAAUUGAUAUGUUUGUAUGAUCUUUUGGAAUAGUUGUGAGGGAACUGAAAACAACAAUGAGAAUUGAUAUGUUUGUAUGAUCUUUUGGAAUAGUUGAAAGGGAACUGAAAACAACAAUGAGAAUUGAUAUGUUUGUAUGAUCUUUUGGAAUAGUUG